rnacentral:rRNA from 1 species
GUGGGGAAUAUUGGACAAUGGGGGGAACCCUGAUCCAGCCAUGCCGCGUGUGUGAAGAAGGCCUUUUGGUUGUAAAGCACUUUAAGCGAGGAGGAGGCUACCGAGAUUAAUACUCUUGGAUAGUGGACGUUACUCGCAGAAUAAGCACCGGCUAACUCUGUGCCAGCAGCCGCGGUAAUACAGAGGGUGCAAGCGUUAAUCGGAUUUACUGGGCGUAAAGCGCGCGUAGGGGGCCAAUUAAGUCAAAUGUGAAAUCCCCGAGCUUAACUUGGGAAGUGCAUUCGAUACUGGUUGGCUAGAGUAUGGGAGAGGAUGGUAGAAUUCCAGGUGUAGCGGUGAAAUGCGUAGAGAUCUGGAGGAAUACCGAUGGCGAAGGGAGCCAUCUGGCCUAAUACUGACACUGAGGUGCGAAAGCAUGGGGAGCAAACAGGAUUAGAUACCCGUGUAGUCC